rnacentral:rRNA from 1 species
UACGGGGGGAGCAAGCGUUGUUCGGAUUUACUGGGCAUAAAGAGCGCGUAGGCGGUCUGACAAGUCCCCUGUGAAAGCCCCCGGCUUAACCGGGGAACUGCAUGGGAUACUGUUGGGCUAGAGUGCAGGAGGGGAGAGCGGAAUUCCUGGUGGAGCGGUGAAAUGCGUAGAUAUCAGGAGGAACGCCGGCGGCGAAAGCGACUCUCUGGCCUGUAACUGACGCUGAGGCGCGAAAGCUAGGGGAGCAAACGGG